ACGGAGCAGAGUUUACCGGCCCGAAAUGCUUUUCCGCUGCUCGCUUCCCCCCCAAGUACCUGCAAGCCCUUCAGCGUGGCUCCCUCUGUCCUCCACGAGCCCGGCUCCCGCUCGCCUCCACCCCAGCCUCGUGGAAAGCUCGGGACCACACCCGCGCCUUUGAAUGUCUUCAUUCUGUGCAUUUCCCGCAGAGGGAUCAGCCACCUUUCCUUGCUGGUUCAGAGGACAGGGCAGACAUGGGAACACGCACACGCUCUCAUCGGGGCUUUGAAGACCCACGACACCUGAAUCCCCCACCUCCCCUCUCAGGGCCAGGCUCAGCUGGCCAUCUGGAAAGGCCAUCAGAAUGGGGCUUUAUCGUUCCCCUCCCGAAACUGUUUGAAGAGUUCAUAGCCUACAAUCCCUCCUUGGAACCGGGCAUUAUUCUCUUGAUUACACAAGCCUGACAGCCUGAUCAUAAUAAACAUGUAACUGAAGAGAACCUAUUCCUUUCC
rnacentral:lncRNA from 1 species